rnacentral:rRNA from 1 species
GACGAACACUGGCGGCGCGCUUAACACAUGCAAGUCGAACGGAAAGGCCUGCUUUCCCUUGUGGAUUGCGGGUACUCGAGUGGCGAACGGGUGAGUAACACGUGAGUGAUCUGCCCCCAACUUGGGUAUAAGCCUGGGAAACUGGGUCUAAUUCCCGAUAGGACUGCAGGGUGGUGCCUGUGGUGGAAAACGAUUUUCUAGUGGUUGGGGAUGAGCUCGCGGCCUAUCAGCUUGUUGGUGGGGUAAUGGCCUACCAAGGCGGUGACGGGUAGCCGGCCUGGGAGAGUGGACGGGCACAUUGGGACUGAGAUACGGCCCAGACUCCUACGGGAGGCAGCAGUGGGGAAUAUUGCACAAUGGGCGGAAGCCUGAUGCAGCGACGCCGCGUGGGGGAUGACGGCCUUCGGGUUGUAAACUCCUUUCGACCGCGAGGAAGCCACCUGGUUGGAAGGGUGGUGACGGUAGUGGUAGAAGAAGCACCGGCUAACUACGUG